GUUUACUACUUGAAGCCGGCUCGAAACGUAAUCGACACUUUCGACGCCCGAAGACUGUUUAUUUACGCGACACGCGAAGGUGAGUUUGACCGACUCAAAAGAAACGUCUCCGUAUUACUAUUGAUCGUCCUGAGUUUCUCGAUCUCGUUUAAUGGCGGACAACGACCGUAAGCGUCCCACGGGAGACUUUUUAUGUAAAGAUAGUAUACUUCCGUGCGAUUAGCGCGACGCGUAUCUUUUCGUCAAUCGAGCGGUAGGCGUCGCUGACGUCGCUGGCAUCGCAGAUAGCCGAACGACGCGCCUCCUUAUAAACAGAGCUUUUGUUAGUGACGCGCGGUCUUACCGAACAUUCGCAGAAUAUGGCGUCGUGAAGUGCUCGAUCGGGUUCUCUCGUCGGCAUUAACCGUUCGUUAACAUGCGUUUCUCCGAUUGAAUCGCAUCUUCGCGAGUGUCAGUGUCAGUAUUAAUGUCAGUGCCAUAACGGAGUAGAUCGAAGACGGAGUAGAUCGGAGUAGACGGAGAUGCUGAAAACGGUGGGCGAAGGACGCCGCCGACAUGCGACCGACAACACGUCCUAUGUUUUCAGAUUUCGCGGGGUUGUGGCUGUAGGAGGUGUGGUUGCUGUACCGGAGGAUCCGGUUCGGGCCGAGCAGGGUCGGCUCGAAGAUUUGCAGCGCAGCACACGUGGCCGAUCCUGAGCUCCUGGUUCAUCGGAAGAAGGUGCACGACGGUGCAGAGAGUAGCUUAAACUUAGAUCGGCAAGAGGAGCAGGUUACCCCCUCCCGUCAGUUGCCCCCACCGUUGCCGCUCGUCAUUAAAUACCGAGAGUGACGAUGUCAAACGGUCAAAUAGUCCGGGUGAUUAAAGCAGUCGACCUGUGCACCUUUGUGUGUCGCGUGCUUUACUUCGCGAGUGUUGAUUACAUCUCGACGACCGACGACCGACGCGUUUACCGCGGACUGUGUGCAUCGGUAUGUUCUUUCUCAUUCCUUUCGGGCGUGAUAAGAAUAUUUCGUCGGCUCUUGAGACACUUUAUCGGAUUCCUUGGACCGCGUCGUGCCCGCGUCGCGUUGUUCAACACGUGUACCUUCGAAUACUCUUUACGUGAGUGUCAGUGUCAGCGCCAAGACGAAGCAGCCAGGAUACCGGGUCAAGGACGAAGGACAUCGAGACGUGCGUCAGAGCGAUAUAUUUCCAGUCGAUCUGCUGGAGUUUGCGGCCACGCGAUAGCUACGGUUACCAGGACGCCGAUGGCGCACCGGAGGAUCCGGUUCGGGCCGAGCGGAGUCGGC